rnacentral:rRNA from 1 species
CAAAACUUUCAACAACGGAUCUCUUGGUUCUAGCAUCGAUGAAGAACGCAGCGAAAUACGAUAAGUAAUGUGAAUUACAGAAUUCAGUGAAUCAUCGAAUCUUUAAACGCAUAUUGCGCCCUCUAGUAUUCCAGAGGGCAUACCUGUUCGAGCGUCAUUU